rnacentral:rRNA from 1 species
AGCAGUCGCCACGGUAAUACGUAGGUGGCAAGCGUUGUCCGGAAUUAUUGGGCGUAAAGGGCUCGCAGGCGGUUUCUUAAGUCUGAUGUGAAAGCCCCCGGCUCAACCGGGGAGGGUCAUUGGAAACUGGGAAACUUGAGUGCAGAAGAGGAGAGUGGAAUUCCACGUGUAGCGGUGAAAUGCGUAGAGAUGUGGAGGAACACCAGUGGCGAAGGCGACUCUCUGGUCUGUAACUGACGCUGAGGAGCGAAAGCGUGGGGAGCGAACAGGAUUAGAUACCCGGGUAGUCCCUGUCUCUUAUAC